GAAUAAGCCGCUGAUAGGGGUUUCUAAAGCAAUUUUUGGGUUUAAAGCAAAUCGAUUUUUCGCAUUUUCAAAGUGCUAUAAUUCCCUUAGUUUUUAUCGAAACUCAUUAUAACCCGGUGUUUUCGUGUUGUAGUUGAUGGGAACAAGCCGCUGGUAUAGUUAAUUCAAAUUCGAAAAAAAUCAAUUUUUGGUGAAAAAUUCGAUACGGGGGGGUAUACCCGAAAAAUGAAAAAACCCAAACUUUGAAGGCCUAUAUCUCGGCUUCUAUGGGAGCUAUCGGGAAAAUUCCAACGGUUUUGUCUUAGUUUCGUCCUUCUGAAUCCAACGAGACCAUCCGCAAGGUCGUAGCUCCCAUAUUAGCUGAGAUCUCGCAUUUUUGUGGCCCAUUUUUGGGCUCAAAAACGGGGUCGAAAAUUGACUUUUUUCCGAAUUUUCAAAGAGCUAUAAUUCCACUUGUUCUGGUCGAAUUCCGUUAUAACCCGGUGUUUUCGUAAUGUAGGUGAUGGGAAUAAGCCGCUGAUAGGGGUUUCUAAAGCAAUUUUUGGGUUUAAAGAAAAUCGAUUUUUCGCAUUUUCAAAGUGCUAUAAUUCCCUUAGUUUUUAUCGAAACUCAUUAUAACCCGGUGUUUUCGUGUUGUAGGUGAUGGGAACAAGCCGCUGGUAUAGUUAAUUCAAAUUCGAAAAAAUCAAUUUUUGGUGAAAAAUUCGAUACGGGGGGGUAUACCCGAAAAAUGAAAAAACCCAAACUUUGAAGGCCCAUAUCUUGGCUUCUAUGGGAGCUAUCGGGAAAAUUCCAACGGUUUUGUCUUAGUUUCGUCCUUCUGAAUCCAACGAGACCAUCCGCAAGGUCGUAGCUCCCAUAUUAGCUGAGAUCUCGCAUUUUUGUGGCCCAUUUUUGGGCUCAAAAACGGGGUCGAAAAUUGACUUUUUUCCGAAUUUUCAAAGAGCUAUAAUUCCACUUGUUCUGGUCGAAUUCCGUUAUAACCCGGUGUUUUCGUAAUGUAGGUGAUGGGAAUAAGCCGCUGAUAGGGGUUUCUAAAGCAAUUUUUGGGUUUAAAGAAAAUCGAUUUUUCGCAUUUUCAAAGUGCUAUAAUUCCCUUAGUUUUUAUCGAAACUCAUUAUAACCCGGUGUUUUCGUGUUGUAGGUGAUGGGAACAAGCCGCUGGUAUAGUUAAUUCAAAUUCGAAAAAAAUCAAUUUUUGGUGAAAAAUUCGAUACGGGGGGGUAUACCCGAAAAAUGAAAAAACCCAAACUUUGAAGGCCUAUAUCUUGGCUUCUAUGGGAGCUAUCGGGAAAAUUCCAACGGUUUUGUCUUAGUUUCGUCCUUCUGAAUCCAACGAGACCAUCCGCAAGGCCGUAGCUCCCAUAUUAGCUGAGAUCUCGCAUUUUUGUGGCCCAUUUUUGGGCUCAAAAACGGGGUCGAAAAUUGACUUUUUUCCGAAUUUUCAAAGAGCUAUAAUUCCACUUGUUCUGGUCGAAUUCCGUUAUAACCCGGUGUUUUCGUAAUGUAGGUGAUGGGAAUAAGCCGCUGAUAGGGGUUUCUAAAGCAAUUUUUGGGUUUAAAGAAAAUCGAUUUUUCGCAUUUUCAAAGUGCUAUAAUUCCCUUAGUUUUUAUCGAAACUCAUUAUAACCCGGUGUUUUCGUGUUGUAGGUGAUGGGAACAAGCCGCUGGUAUAGUUAAUUCAAAUUCGAAAAAAAUCAAUUUUUGGUGAAAAAUUCGAUACGGGGGGGUAUACCCGAAAAAUGAAAAAACCCAAACUUUGAAGGCCUAUAUCUUGGCUUCUAUGGGAGCUAUCGGGAAAAUUCCAACGGUUUUGUCUUAGUUUCGCCCUUCUGAAUCCAACGAGACCAUCCGCAAGGUCGUAGCUCCCAUAUUAGCUGAGAUCUCGCAUUUUUGUGGCCCAUUUUUGGGCUCAAAAACGGGGUCGAAAAUUGACUUUUUUCCGAAUUUUCAAAGAGCUAUAAUUCCACUUGUUCUGGUCGAAUUCCGUUAUAACCCGGUGUUUUCGUAAUGUAGGUGAUGGGAAUAAGCCGCUGAUAGGGGUUUCUAAAGCAAUUUUUGGGUUUAAAGAAAAUCGAUUUUUCGCAUUUUCAAAGUGCUAUAAUUCCCUUAGUUUUUAUCGAAACUCAUUAUAACCCGGUGUUUUCGUGUUGUAGGUGAUGGGAACAAGCCGCUGGUAUAGUUAAUUCAAAUUCGAAAAAAAUCAAUUUUUGGUGAAAAAUUCGAUACGGGGGGGUAUACCCGAAAAAUGAAAAAACCCAAACUUUGAAGGCCUAUAUCUUGGCUUCUAUGGGAGCUAUCGGGAAAAUUCCAACGGUUUUGUCUUAGUUUCGUCCUUCUGAAUCCAACGAGACCAUCCGCAAGGUCGUAGCUCCCAUAUUAGCUGAGAUCUCGCAUUUUUGUGGCCCAUUUUUGGGCUCAAAAACGGGGUCGAAAAUUGACUUUUUUCCGAAUUUUCAAAGAGCUAUAAUUCCACUUGUUCUGGUCGAAUUCCGUUAUAACCCGGUGUUUUCGUAAUGUAGGUGAUGGGAAUAAGCCGCUGAUAGGGGUUUCUAUAGCUAUUUUUGGGUUUAAAGAAAAUCGAUUUUUCGCAUUUUCAAAGUGCUAUAAUUCCCUUAGUUUUUAUCGAAACCCAUUAUAACCCAGUGUUUUCGUGUUGUAGGUGAUGGGAACAAGCCGCUGGUAUAGUUAAUUCAAAUUCGAAAAAAAUCAAUUUUUGGUGAAAAAUUCGA
rnacentral:lncRNA from 1 species